rnacentral:lncRNA from 1 species
AUGAUAUUAAUUUUUUUUACACAAACACUUAGUAAAUUUAUAGGAAUAGAUUUGAAUACGCCUAAUAGCGGUAAUGAUAAUAGUAAUGAUAAUAACAAUAAUAACAAUAGCAACAAUAAUAAUAGCAACAAUAAUAGUAAUAAUAAUAAUAAUAAUAAUAAUAAUAAUAACAACAACAACAACAACAAUAAUAAUAAUAAUAAUAAUAACAACAACAACAACAGUAAUAAUAAUAAUAACAACAACAACAACAAUAAUAAUAAUAAUAAUAAUAAUAACAACAACAAUAAACAUGUCUUCAUUUUUAUAAGGGUAAUUUUUAGUAAUUAUAUUUUACUUCAAAUGUAUUUAUUUUUUAUAAUAGAUACAUUUCAAUUAAUUGAUGAAAAGAAAUUUCGGUUCUCUAUAAAACAGUUACAAAUAUAUGUGGCUAACUUUUUUAAUACAAUACACAAACAUUUUCUUAAUUUGUCAGAUAUUGUAAUAGAUUAUAAUUUUUUAUUUCGUUCAAAAUAUGUUUAUAAAGAUAUACAAAAAAUAUGUUCCCAUAAUAAACAAGACGAUUGCUUAUACAUUAAAAAAAUGAUCAAGAAUAUAAAAAAAUAUUAUUUAACAGAAGAAGAAAAACAAAGUUUCGAUGAACAAAAUUUUAAUGACUCAUAUGAAAUCAAAUUGGACAAUAUUGGUUUGUACUUACCCAAAAUGUUGAAUCAUAUUUUAUACAAUAGAGAAGGAUUGCAUAAUGCAACCAAUUAUGAGAUAUGUGCUGUUGGUAAUAACAAAAAUGAAGAAUAUAAUAAUAUAACAGGGACACCUUUUUCAUUUUUAUUCACUGAUGAAGAGAUGAAUAAACAUAAAAUAAACAUAAAAACUAAUGGAAUAUUAAAAAAUACAACAGAUAUAACAUGGGAUGUGAACGAUUCAACAAAAGAUACAACAAAAGAUGUAGAAAAGGAAAUUUCAAAAUAUAUAAAUAUUUUAAAAAAAAUAAACUUGUCAACAAUAAAUGAAACCAACAUGGAAAUAAUGUGUUAUUAUAAUAAAAAAAUAAUUGUUCAGUUUUUAUUUUAUAACGUAUUAAAAAGCAUUAUAUAUAAUUGUUAUUACCUUAAUUUUUUUAGUACAGACAAUUUACAUCAUUUUAUUAGUAGUAGAAAAAGAUUUAAGGAUGUUUCAAAUGAUAAAAGCAAACAUAUAAAUAGUGAAAAUGAUUUUAUACAAAAUAAAAUUAUAAGAAAAAUCAAAGAAAUAAAAAAACAAAAAAAAACACAAAAAAAAGGAAUAAUUAUUAAAAGUGACUUAUCUAUAAAUGGUGAUAAACACAGUAGUGAUAGUAGCAAUACUAGUAAUAGUUGUAGUAAUAAUAUUAAGGGAUUGUUUUUUGAAAAGUAUUUUAUCUGUGAGCAAUUUAAAUAUAUAUUACUUUUUCAAAAUUGCCAUUUAAUAAAAGAAAAUAUCGAAAAAUUAUUAAAUGAUAAUAAUAUUACUUUACAAAAUGUUUCUACAAUUUUAGUUAACUGCGACGGUGAUAGUAAAAAUAAUGAACAAAGUAAAAAUAACAUUUCUGCACCAUUAGACCUGUCAGAAGGAGUAUAUAAUUUAGUUUCCAGCACAGAACCUAAAAAUGUACAUAAUAAAAUAACCACGAAAAGUGGUCAUACAGAUAAAGAAACAAAAAAAAAGCCCCAAAAAAUAAAACCUAUUUUAUUUCAUUACGAUUUUAUAGCAGAUAAAAAACACAACGAACAUAACACUUAUUUAAAAAAAGAAACAUUUAACCUGUUUUUAUAUAUUUAUACUAUUAACACCAUGAAGGAAUAUAAAAAUAUAGAAAGCUUUUUUAAUACAACCAAAUUUAAUAAUUUAUUAAAAUUAUUCAAUAAUAUGAAAUAUUUAUUUGGUAGUAAAAAAAAAAAAUAA